UAAUACGGAGGGGGCGAGUGUUGUUCGGAAUUACUGGGCGUAAAGGGCGCGCAGGCGGCUUGGCAAGUCGAGUGUGAAAUCCCUUGGCUUAACUGAGGAAUGGCGCUCGAAACUACCUCGCUGGAGGGCGGGAGAGGGAAGUGGAACUCUCGGUGUAGGGGUGAAAUCUGUAGAUAUCGAGAGGAACACCGGUGGCGAAGGCGGCUUCCUGGCCCGUACCUGACGCUGAGGCGCGAAAGCGUGGGGAGCAAACAGGAUUAGAUACCCUGGUAGUCCACGCCGUAAACGAUGGGUACUAGGUGCCUGGGGGAGCGACCCUCUGGGUGCCGGCGCUAACGCAGGAAGUACCCCGCCUGGGGAGUACGACCGCAAGGUUG
rnacentral:rRNA from 1 species